rnacentral:lncRNA from 1 species
UUGAAAUAAAAUAUUAUAUAUUAGACCUAAAUAAACCAUACAUAACAUUAUUAUUUAAUUAAAAAUUAAUUUGAAAUAGACAAAGUGGACAAGAUGUAUUUUUUUUAACAAACCAUUUUAAUACGCAACACAUAUGAAAAACAUGUUUGCAAGGAAGUUCCGCAACGGUAUAUUUUUUCUCUAUGAAGUCAUUUAAACAUAUUAACCACAUUUUCUGAUCAUUGAUUUGCCAUCAUCAUCAACAUCAUCGCCCCAGAAGAAAAUUAUAGUAGACACGACUAUUCUGUAUUUCAAAUCUUUAUUCAUAAUCAUAUUGUUCUCUUUCAAAAAUAUCUCGGGUGAAACUAAUAAUUCAUAGUUUAAUUUAAAUGAUACAUCCAAAGAUUCUGAUAAUGUUGUUUUUUAAGCUUCACCAUAUAAGUAUGGAAAUAACUUCUCUAUAAUUCUCUCCAAUACUUGUUUGUUGAUGUGAACGCCGUUAUUUGUGAUCGUUUUGAUAGUAUUUUCUGUCGACGUUAUGGAACAGAAGUGUUGGUCUGUGUUUGAAAUUAGCUUGGGGACGGAAGAUGUCAUAGCUCUUGAUGAUGGUGAAGAUGAGAUGACUGUGUAGUUUCUGUUCACCGUAACUUCCAUAAGAACGACACGAAAUCGGUAUACAGUUUCAGGCAGAUACCAAUUUUCGCAGGUCAUUUCGAAUUUCAUAAAAUCGUUUGAUUCAUUCCAUGACAUGAUAGAUGCAGUUGAUAUCAUUGCAGCCGUUAUCAAACUUUUGAAUGAAAUGUGUAAAGAGGGUCAGAGAACAUGAUGAUAUAAAAAUUGUAAAUGGUUUUAUUAAUUUAUAGAAAAAUAAAGAUUUGAAUCAAUGGUUGUAAACAAAAACAAUUAUAACCACAAAUUAAACUCAUCUAAAAUUAGUAAAGAUUUUAAUCUUCACUAAAAUUAUAAAAUUGCAUCAAAAUCAAAAAAAAAAGUUCCAAUAUAUAUUUUUUUUUUUGCAAAAAAAUUGAAUGAAUUUAUAAUAAAUAGUAAAAAAAAUUAAAUUAUUAAUUGAAUGAAUCUAAAGAGACAACCUAUUUGAAAUUUUAUGGUUUCUCCUAGAUUUACCGUUGAUUCUUAGAUCCACCGGUAGCCGAAAAACUCAGAAAUCCUUAGACUCACCCCAGUCAUUUAAGUGUUUUUGAUCAUUUUUUUACUCCAUCUAAACCCUAACCCUAAAAGACUUAUAUGGAAAAGUACAGACUUAUGUAAAUGGAUCCUUGAAAAUCCAGAGAUUUUGAUUUGAAAUAAUAUAUUUUAUCAAGGAAUUAAGAUUGCUUUGAAAUAAAAAUAUCAAAUAUUAGACCUAAAUAAACCAUACAUAACAUUAUUAUUUAAUUAAAAAUUAAUUUGAAAUCGACAUAGUGGACAAGAUGUAUUUUUUUAACAAACCAUUUUAAUACGCAACACAUAUGAAAAUCAUGUUUGCAAGGAAGUUCCGCAACGGUAUAUUUUUUCUCUUUGAAGUCAUUUAAACAUAUUGAACACAUUUUCUGAUUAUUGAUAUUGCCAUCAUCAUCAACAUCAUCGCCCCAGAAGAAAAUUUUAGUAGAUGCGACUAUUCUGUACUUCAAAUCUUUCUUCAUAACCUUAUUGUUCUCUUUCAAAAACAUCUAAGUGAAACUAAUAAUUCAUAGUUUAAUUUAAAUGAUACAGAAAAAGAUUCUAUUAAUUUUGUUUUUUGAGCUUCACCAUAUAAGUAUGGAGAUAACUUCUCUAUAAUUCUCUCCAAUACUUGUUUGUUGAUGUGAACGUCGUUAUUUGUGAUCGCUUUGAUAGUAUUUUAUGUCGACGUUAUUUAACUGAAGUGUUGGUCGGUGUUUGAAAUUAGCUUGGGGACGAAAGAUGUUAUGCUAGCUCUUGAUGAUGGUGAAGAUGAGAUGACUGUAUAUUUUCUUUUCACCAUUUUUCGGAGGUCAUUACGAAUUUCAUAAAAUCGUUUGAUUCAUUCCAUGACAUGAUAGAUGCAGUUGAAUGCAUUGAAGCCAUUAUCAAACUUUCGAUUGAAAUGUGUAAAAGUGUCAGAGAAGAAGAUGAUAUAAAAAAUAGAAAUUGUUUUAUUAAUUUAUAGAAAAAUAAACAUUUGAAUCAAUGGUUGUAAACAAAAACAAUUAUAACCACAAAUUAAACUCAUCUAAAAUUAGUAAAGAUUUUAAUCUUCAUUAAAAUGAUAAAAUUGCAUCAAAAUAAAAAAAAAAAUUUCCAAUAUAUACUUUUUUUUUGCAAAAAAAAUGAAUGAAUUUAUAAUAAAUAUUAAAAAAAAUUAAAUUAUUAAUUGAAUGAAUCUAAAGAGACAAACUUUUUGAAAUUUAAUGGUUUCGCCUAGAUUUACCGUUGAUUCUUAUAUCCACCGGUAGCUGAUAAACUCAGAAAUCGUUAGACUCACCCCAGUCAUUUAAGUGUUUUUGAUCAUUUUAAUUAUUUUUUUACUCCAUCUAAACCCUAACCCUAAAAGACUUAUAUAGAAAAGUACAGACUUAUGUAAAUGGAUCCUUGAAAAUCCAGAGAUUUUGAUUUGAAAUAAUUUAUUUUAUCAGGGAAUUAAGAUUGCUUUGAAAUAAAAAUAUCAAAUAUUAGACCUAAAUAAACCAUACAUAACAUUAUUAUUUAAUUAAAAAUUAAUUUGAAAUCGACAUAGUGGACAAGAUGUAUUUUCUUUAACAAACCAUUUUAAUACGCAACACAUAUGAAAAACAUGUUUGCAAGGAAGUUCCGCAAUGGUAUAUUUUUUCUCUUUGAAGUCAUUUAAACAUAUUGAACACAUUUUCUGAUCAGUGAUAUUGCCAUCAUCAUCAACAUCAUCGCCCCAGAAGAAAAUUUUAGUAGAUGCGACUAUUCUGUACUUCAAAUCUUUCUUCAUAACCUUAUUGUUCUCUUUCAAAAACAUCUCGGGUGAAACUAAUAAUUCAUAGUUUAAUUUAAAUGAUACAGACAAAGAUUCUGAUAAUGUUGUUUUUUGAGCUUCACCAUAUAAGUAUGGAGAUAACUUCUCUAUAAUUCUCUCCAAUACUUGUUUGUUGACGUGAAUGCCGUUAUUUGUGAUCGUUUUGAUAGUAUUUUCUGUCGACGUUAUGGAACUGAAGUGUUGGUCGGUGUUUGAAAUUAGCUUGGGGACGAAAGAUGUCAUGCUAGCUCUAGAUGAUGGUGAAGAUGAGAUGACUGUAUAUUUUCUUUUCACCAUUUUUCGCAGGUCAUUUCGAAUUUCAUAAAAUCGUUUGAUUCAUUCCAUGACAUGAUAGAUGCAGUUGAU